GUUUUUUGCCUCUGACUUGGUGAACAAAUUUUAAAUUUUUCAUAGUUUCUUUGAUUUCAGAGGAAAAAUCCGGAGGAAUAGCGAAUAGGUAAACAAAGAAUGGAUCCUAUCAUCGACUGGCAAAUAUCGCGCCACGACAUCAAAUCCCGGGGUCAGUAUCUGCUCGAAACCGGUAAAUGGGCCGAUUGUCACUUUCUGGUCGGUCAGGAACCAAAUCAUCAGAUGCUAGCGGGACAUAAGCUUAUCCUGGCGAUGGCUUCUCCUGUGUUUGAAGCCAUGUUUUACGGAGGUCUUGCCGAGAAGAACGACCCGAUACCGAUUUUGGACAUUGACCCUUCGGCAUUCAAAUCAUUGUUGGAGUAUAUAUACACAGACAAAAUAAACAUCAAUUCGGUGGACAGAGCCUGCGAGCUGUGUUAUGGAGCAAAGAAGUACAUGCUUCCCCAUGUCGUCGAGCAAUGCAUUACGUUCCUGUGGUCGGAUCUCUGCCCUAAGAACGUAUGCCGGGCAUAUGAAUUUGCCAAAUUAUUUGAAGAGCCCCGUCUGAUGGAGAAAUGUCUGCAAAUAAUGUGUACUAAAACGAUAGAUGUAGUCCAGGAUUCAAGUUUCGAGGAUGUCGAACUCAGUACGAUUAUCACGAUCCUUGAUCAGGAUGUACUAAACAUUGAUUCCGAACUUAAUCUGUUUUGGGCUAUAAACAAAUAUGCAGAAAAACACGGAUUAUGUUCAAGCCGCCAUCCUGAAUCAAACCAAUCCAACAAUGACCAGGACCAGAUCGGUUCACCACAAUCGCCUCCAACCGUAGAUGUCGAAGCUGGUCCAUCAAAUGUCCAACCUGGUGGCAAUCAAAAUAUUCCUAUGGGAAACAACGAACAGCAAGCGGCUCCAAUUCCACUGGUAAAUACUGGACGCCAGCAAGAGCUGCCCACGAUUCGGGAUGCCAUUCGUCGGAUUCGAUUCUUAUCGCUCAACCCUCAGCAAUUUGCGGAAGGUCCUGCUCGGACCAAUCUUUUGACGCAGUCGGAAGCGUUCGCCAUCUUGAUGAAUAUCUCAACGGCGAACAGUUGUUAUCCGAUGCCAGAAGGUUUUACAACUAAUAAGAAUCCAAGAAAUGCAUUUUCUGAUUCAUCACCUGCUAGCCCCAUAGCCGGUCCGAGUAGUAAUGUUCCUCCGCUUGGUCAUCAGCCUGGUGCGUCCGCUGGGCCAAGCGGAUUGUUUCCACAACAUGUCCCACCGCCACAACCGGCACCAGUACCGUCACAAACCGUUCCAGCCCCAGCUCCGGCUCCUGUCCCUCCAGCGCAUCCAGAAAACCCGGAAAGCCCAUUUUAUCCGGAUUAUCUAGAUGAGAUCCGCAACAAUGACUCGAAUUAUGAUCGUAAAUAUUACUGCCGCCGUAUCAUGCGCCAGCAAACCGAAUGCCUCAAUACAUCGGUGCUCGAUUGCUCUUUGACCUUCAUCGUGGAUCGCUCCGUGUGCAUCACAGGAAUUGAGGUCCCGACGCAAGUUCAAGGUUCGUCUAUUGUUGGAAAUGACCGCUACUCGGAGCUGCUCUAUGCUCAUCUCCUUGAUGCUCACGGAUCACGUUUGACCUACACACAUUGCAACCAACGAGUCCAGUACAAUUCUAUGCUGGAGAUCUCAUUCGAUAGACCUGUCUUCAUACAGCGGCACAAGAUGUACAAAAUUGGAGUUGUAUUCAACAAGGUGGGAUGGUAUCCCGUUAGCCAGUCCGUGGCAAAGGUCAAUUGUGACAACGUUUGCUUCACGUUCUGUGUUGGAUCGCAGUCGGAAUCGGUCCGCGAUGGAUUGAUCCGAACAAUUGUAUUUACCUAUACGCGUGAUGGAAUAGCGUAUUCCUAAACCGUGGAGUACAUUUACAGUACAAAAACUGUCAAAAAAUCAGGCAACAAUGUGGAUACAUUCUGCAAUGUUACUACUACUUCAAUGUUAGAUCGACCCCAGGGCAGCAAGCACGGAUAUUACGAACAGAAUGAAGCCAUUGACGAGACGAUAUUUUAAAAUGAAUUUAGGCAGUUUAUUGUAGCUGCUACUGUCUUCGCCCAAAAUUACAAACUGGAUGAAUUUACAUUGACAAAAACAGAGAACCGUGCUUAAAUUAUUCGAAAAAUAAAAAAAUAUCUUACAAAAACGCAAAAUCGCAGAAACAUCUGGUAGGUACCAAAACUGCAGCUAAUAAUCAAACAUUAAUGAUUGUUUCCUACUUGCGAAUGUCUCCAACAAUGAAAUGAUGAGUGCAUUUUAAUCCUUAGGCAAUUGUACAACAAAUCCUGGUGAAUAUCCACAUAAAACCUACAGUGGUUUAAAUAUCUAUGUAAUCCAUAUAACUACCU